GUGCUCGCUUCAGCAGCACAUAUACUAAAAUUGGAACAAUACAGAGAAGAUUAGUAUGGUCCAUGUGCAAGGAUGACAUGCAAAUUUGUGAACCGUUCCAUAUUUAA